rnacentral:misc_RNA from 1 species
GGAAGAUGGAUCAAAAGGAUUACUCCAUCUGGCCUGCUCGUGUACAAAAAGGCUGUUCUUCCUGGAGAUGUAGGGACGGAUAAAGGGUGAGAAAGGGGGAAGGCGACACGAUUCGUGUGCCUGGACUCGGACGCGCCGAACUUCUUGGUUCUGUCCGCUUGCGCGUGAGGAAGACGACGCUAUAGGAGUCAGGUUGGUUUGCUGCUGAUAUGCAUAUGUUGUACGCUUCUAGAUUUCUUCUUGUGAAGAAGAAAACGAACUUGGCGGGGUCGAGCGAACUUGGAGUUGGGCUGGCCAAGUUCGUUUUCUUCU